GCGGCUGUGACCGAGCGGUUAAGGUGAUUGAUUUAAAAUCAAUUGGGCUCUGCCCGCAUAGGUUCGAAUCCUAUCAGCCACG
rnacentral:tRNA from 1 species